AGGGCUGUGGCUCAAUGGUAGAGCACUUGCCUUGCAUGCAGAAGCCCCAGGUUCUGUCCCUGACAUCCUUA